rnacentral:rRNA from 1 species
ACCGCUAUCAGAGUACGACUAAGCCAUGCAAGUCUGCCUGUACACUUGUACAGACGGCGUACGGCUCAGUAACAUGUAGUCAAUCUGCCCUAAGGACCGGCAUACCCUCGGGAAACUGAGGAUAAUUCCGGAUCGCCCAUCUAUGCUGGAAUGCUUGAUGGGUUAAAUGGCUUGCGAAUUGGAGCAAGUCCGCCUUAGGAUGAGACUGCACCUGAUUAGGUAGUUGGUGGGGUAAUGGCCCACCAAGCCGAUAAUCAGUAGGGGCAAUGGGAGUUGGAGCCCCGAGAAGAGCACUGAGACAAGGGCUCUAGUCCUACGGGAUGCAGCAGGCGCGAAACCUUUACAAUGCGCGAAAGCGUGAUAGGGGAACUCUGAGUGGCGUGCGGAUUUUUAUUCGCUGUCUUUUGCCAAGUCUAAAUCGCUUGGAGAAUAAGUGCUGGGUAAGACCAGUGCCAGCCGCCGCGGUAAUACUGGCAGCACAAGUGGUAUCCACGAAUAUUGGGUCUAAAGAGUCCGUAGCCGGUCCAUUAAGUCCUCUGUGAAAUCUUGGAGCUUAACUUCAAGGCGUGCAGGGGAUACUGGUGAGACUUGAGAGUGGGGGAGGUCAAGAGUACUUGUGGGGUAGGAGUAAAAUCCUGUAAUCCUUCAAGGACUCCCAGUGGCGAAGGCGCUUGACCAAAACACGUCUGACGGUGAGGGACGAAGGCUAGGAGAACGAAUCGGAUUAGAUACCCGAGUAGCCCUAGCAGUAAAUUAUGCAGACUGUGGUGUUACAUUAGCUUCGAGCUGGUGUAGUGCUGUAGCGUAGGCGUUAAGUCUGCCACCUGGGGAGUACGGCCGCAAGGUUGAAACUUAAAGGAAUUGGCGGGGGAGCACCACAAGGGGUGGAAGCUGCGGUUCAAUUGGACACAACGCCGGGAAUAUUACCGGGAGCGACGGCAGAAUGAAGGUCAGACUAAAGAUCUUGCCCAACGAGCCGAGAGGUGCUGCAUGGCCAUCGUCAGCUCGUGCUGCGAAGUGUCCGGUUAAGUCCGGUAACGAGCGAGACCCCUAUGUACUGUUGCUACUUUCGCAUCCGUGCGAGAGGCACUCUGUACAGACUGCCUGCGUUAAGCAGGAGGAAGGAAGGGGCGACGGUAGGUCAGUAUGGCCUGAAUCUCCCGGGCUACACGUGGCUUACAAUGGCUUAGACAAUGGGCUGCAACUCCGAAAGGGGAAGCUAAUCUCACAAACUAAGCCUAGAUUUGGAUUGGGGGCUGAAACUCGCCCCCAUGAAACUGGAAUCCCUAGUAAUCGCUUGUCAACAUCGAGCGGUGAAUACGUCCCCGCUCCUUGCACACACCGCCCGUCAAGUCACCCAAACAGGGUUUUGGUGAG